CUCCCUCUCUUCCAAAAUAUUUCUUAAAAAAAAUAACUCUUGAUUUAUUAUUGUGUCUUCAAUUUAUCUUAUCAAAAUGUCGUUUAAUUUCAAUGGAAUAAAUCUGAGAUUUUUACUUACAGCACUUAUUCAUUUUGCAGAAAAAUGCUGUUUGCUUUGAACUUGUUCUAUUCAUGGAAAUUUAUCUAUGGCCCACGCUCAAACAUGCAAACAUAACACACAAACACACGCAGUCAGCAUGAUAAAUGCGAGUUGCCUUAGCUUUGUUUGUCUGUGUUGAAAUGCCUAAAAAUGUUUGCGGUUGCUUUUGAGAACUGAACUGAAAACAUUUGCCAGUCAUGCUGUUUUCUUUAUACAUCUCAUGAAGGCGGCAUUUCCAUUUUAUUAUGGCAUGUGUAACGCGCUCGCGUGGGCUCGACAAAUGUCGAACUGCUGGAUUUUUAUUGGGAUUGAAGUCUACGAAAGUGUCUUAAAUUGUUUUUCGGUGUUAAAGAUUCUUCUGUAGGCUAAAAUAAAUGGAGAAAGAUUCUUUAAGAUUCUCUACGAACUGGUGCAAAUAUUUUGAAUGAAUUACUUGGAUUUCUUAUUGGAGCCCAGUAUUAUCGUUAUUCCCAAAAUAUAUAUGUUCGCUAGUGUAUUUAAUGUUUGGCUGUGCAAAAAUAGAUGUUUCUGCUGGAUUAAUACCAGGUUCCUUGCCUUGUUUAUCUAUUUUGGUGUUGCCACAGAAAUAUAUUACCGCAACGAGCAGAGGAAUGCUUAUGGAGCAUAGGCGUGG
rnacentral:sRNA from 1 species